UAAAGUAGUAUAUUGAAAUAAAUGUUCUAAAAAUUAAGAUAAACUCUCAAAACACAGGCCUUAAAGCUCUGCCCUAGUUUCUAGUUCUACACAUCCCACUAUCGGCGUACUCCUCCGUAGCUCUACCCGUCGAGUAAAUCUGUGUUUUGGGAAAACACAGAUUGUAGGUCUGCCAUAGUUUUCCAUCUCCCUUAUUUUCGAAUCUCAGGUUCAAUAUGAAACCAUUAAAGACUGAAGAUGAGGUGGGGUCGACUGUGAAGACUACUACCAAAUAUGCAUUCGUCGCGCCAGGUGCUAGAGGUGUUAUAGGAAAGGAAUGAGGACGAGGAGUUACUUUUGGCUCUUUUGCUACGUCUUUUAUCUCUUUGAGAUAAAUAUCAAAGUUCUUUUUGAACUGCUUCAAUAUUAUUUUUACUAGGUUGAUCAGUUAAUAUGCUACAAAUUUUCUUGACACUUGUUAUAUCCGCUCCUUCCUUGGUAAAACUGUUACAUUACAGAGCACCAUAUAAGUUGGAUCAAGAGCACCAUCUCAACCCAUGUUUUGAUUCGCUGCUCAACAAUCACAAGUCCACCCUACGACAUCACCUGUUUCAACUGAAUGACCAUUGUUUUUGUCUGCUGACCAGGUUAGUAACAAUAUGCCCGACUUUUUAAUUUAUUUAUUUUUACCUAUUGAAGUUGAUAAUUUAAAGUACGUUGGGUGAUUCGUUUAUUGAACAUUGUUCAGUGGGAGGCUUCUUUGAAGAAUUUUACCCUCCCCUCUUUCGUUAGGUACCUCUUCUUCAAUGUAUAUAGUGAGUAAAAUUUGAUGUACUACCUCUACUACUACUUCACAAAUGGUAUUUUGUGUUGUAUUUUAAGUCUUAAUGGUAUUAUGUAUGGUUUCCUUAUUAGAUGUUUUCAGAAAUUCCUAUCAAUACAUGAAAGAGCAAUUUAAAACAGAUGGAAAAAAACCAUAUUGUUGUUAACUCUUGUUGCCUUUUUAUGUGUUUCCAGUUUAACUUUUGUGAUCCCUUAUCCUAACCAAAUGAUGGAACUUGUCUUUAUCUAUAGUUAACUUAGUUGCAGAGAGGAAAUGGAACAAAUGGAGAGGAUACUUGCAUGCACAAUGUGUGAAAAAUAAUCCAAUCCAACAGGCUCUUAAGAAUAUGCCAAAGGGAGCAGACAAGAAAGAAUGGGAGUGGUUAGUAAAAGAACAUUUUACUUCAGAAAGUUUUCAGGUAUGUCUAGUGAUUUACUAGUCUAUUUCACCCAAUCAUCUGUAGCCUUAGAAGAUGAGAUGAAAGAAAUUAAGAAAAUAAAAGAAUUCUUUGCCGCUCAACAAUCAUAUGCCCCGCCGACGACAUCGCCCGUUUCAACUGAAUGACCACUGUUUUUGUCUGCUAACCAAGUUAGUAACAAUAUACCCGACUUUUUAAUUUAGUUUGUUGAUUUGCGUAUAGUCAAUUUCUAUCUAACACUGAUUCUAGCAGUUGCUUGACUUCACCACUAAUGAUGCUUGUUUCUAGCUCCGUACAUGCUCUAAAAGAUUGCUAUUGCUCUGUGAUCUGUUUGACAUGUGUGUUUGUCAUUUCUAUUUUUUACCUUGUUUCUCUAGCAUAUCAGAUCUCUUUCAGCUUAUUUGUGAUACCUGGCCAUGGUUGGGCUGUAUUUGAGGCUUUGCAAGAAUACCUUGUUGUUGUUGUUGCUGAGUAAUUGCCUUAAGAAUACCUCCUGUUGUUGCUACUGCUUGCAAAUUUCCACCUGAAGCCUGAAUUUGUGAAUAGCACUAAGCUGAUCCAACUGACUAGUACCGUGUAUUUUACCACUUGUAGGAGUGCCAUCAUGUUUCUUAGUAUUGGAUUGCUUUUAAUAGUGAGAACUUUCCUUUGGAGUUGCAUUAUCCUUGUACAACUCCAGCCCUACAGUUCUAUUGGGAUCUUGAUAUGUCAACCUCCUGCUCCUUGUGCUGCUGCUUUUGUGUAUUGUCAUCAGUAUGCUAUAUGACUUUUGAUAGGUAUUUUUGUUGUUGUUUUGCAUAAACUGGUGCUGCAUCAUGUUUUACCUAAUUUGUUACUAGCGAAUGAUAAAUGCAGUUCAGGCAGCUAGCUACUAAAGCUUAAUCAUAUGCUUCCACCAUCUCUUUCAAUCGAACUUAUGUAAAAUCACUUUCUUACUACUUAACUGUUUGACAAGUACUCAAGGGAUUUUGUGAAACUCAUUCACUUGCAAGUUGCAAAUCUUAAAGUUCGAUAUUAAGAUCUAUGAUGAUCAAUGUGCAUUUAGAUAGUAUUAAAGAAAUCGACAAAGUUCACAAGGAAAGUACACUUUUAACCCUAUCCUCUAUGCUUUAUUCCUUCUAUACAAUUUAGUAGUCUUUUCCUAUCUAUGAAUAUGAAUAGGACAGAUAAACUUUUAGCUAUUCGAAGGGUGGCACUGAUAGUGUUCAUUUCGUUGAAGGUUAACUUAGUUGAUGACUUCAACAUACUACAAAAAUACACUUGAUAAGAGGAAAAAAACUUACUACACAACGCUUGUCUGAAGCCAGAUUAACUCAUCUGGUCAGUGGUCAGUUUGAUGUUACUUCAAAGUCAUGUAUCAUUCAGUUAUAUCUUGCAGAGAGAUCUGAUGAUUCGUUAUGCCAUUGGGAGAUGGCUUAGGUUUAUACUGAAUAUGUAGAAACAAUUUCUGAUUGAUUAGACUAAGUAGUUUCAGUUUAGAAUUUAAACGCAGUCGCUUGUUCUAUUGUUCAUGCAAUCGCAGUUUCUCUUCCCUUUUUUAUUUUGGUGCGAGUUGUUAAGACUGAUGAAAUUCUCUAUUCGGAAUUGAAGCACAUACGAAGUUGCGACAGCUUGUGCACUAAUUUGUAUUAUAGACGGCCCAAUUCUUGAUGAGUCUAGCCGUCUGAUUCGUUUCUUAACUCUUCAAGAUGCUGAUAUGCUGGUCUGCAAACGAGUUGAGCAAAGUUAGACUGCUGCUAAUUAUGUAAAAGUUGUUAGUCAGGAGGACUUCAAUCGUUUAGGUUACAAUGGUUCCAACGGAUUGCUCCCUUCCCAAAAUGGCAAUGGUUAUAGCCGAAGAUACAAUCCUACAUUUCAGAAUGGCAUUGGUUUUGACAAUGGUAAUGGGCUUUGGUCUAGUGAACAAGGUUUUGCAAUUGGAGGACAAGAGAAACUAAGUCGGUUAAAUGGUUAUCUCUCAGAAUUAGCUGCUGCUGCUUUUGUUUGCCGAGUAAGUCCCAAAAACACUUGUGUUUUCAGUAGGUAGUAGUCGUUUGAAUUAUUCUUUUACCAUGCUUUGUCCUAUUCAUUAUAACCUGUUACUGAUGAAUCUAGAAGAUACUAAGGAAGAUUACAGAUUCUCUUGUACUUUUUUUUUAAAUUUCUUAUGAUAAGCCUUUGCAGUAGAGAUAUGUGCAUUUCAUGAAUAGACAAUUCUUUAUAUUUUACAUUAGUGUUUAACAUUGUGCCGUUCAUCUUAAAUAUCCACUCUCCUAGUGGUCUUCCAUCUUAGUUGCUUUAAACGUGUAAAUUUUCAUUCUCUAGAAUAUUGUCACCUCACCUAUUAGCGUGAUAUCUUUUUCUUGUCAAAACUCAUUCAAAUUAUAUAUUCCCAUUUCCAUCACGGAGGUGUUCAAAGAGUGCACCUGCUGGAUGGCACUAUUGGUGGAGUUUUACUAAAGGAAUUGUUCUAAAGAGAUGGAGUUGGGUCAAUGGUUGCUAGGUUUUGAAGAUUGAAUUUGACAAGCCAAGAUGGAAGUUUAGAAGAUGCAGAAGCUCAUUAUUUUGCUAGGAAUGUUAUGCACUCGCUAUCGUAGUCUAGCUCAAGUGUUAGCGAUGUUUUUUUGUUAAGCUGUCGAGAAAAUAUUGAAACUAACAUCAUGGGAUGUUAACAAUUUUACUGUAAUUAAUAACUCUAUCUUCAU